CAGCAGGUCCACAAAGCAUAUCUUUUCAAUGUAGGUGGUUGUUUCGAUCGGUCUCAGCAUAUAUAGAGAAAGCGGCACAUCCAGUUCUUCAUGAAAAGAGUAGAAUUGCUCCAGCAAAAUAAAGUUAAACCGUUUAUUGUUUUUGAUGGAUGUGAGCUCCCGAUGAAGAUUGACGAAAAGAGAAAGCAUAAAGAGUCCAGGGACAAAUCUCUUGCUAAGGCUCGUCGGCUUGAGUCAGGAGAUGCUGCUGCUGUUGGGCAUUACAAACAUGCAGUAAACAUCACCCCUUUAAUAGUACACAAGCUAAUCGAGGUCUUGAAGAAGCAGGACAUUUCUUAUGUUGUUGCCCCUUACGAAGCGGAUGCUCAAAUGGCCUUUUUGGCAAUCCAUGGACGGGUAAAUGCUGUACUUACGAGCGAUGCGGAUCUUGUAGCAUUUGGCUGUCCUAGAAUAAUCUUCCGAAUGGAUGAUUCUGGGCGAGGUCAUGAGUUCAAGGACUCCAAGCUACUAGAGCAUCCAAAACUUAAUGGGUUUACUCAGCAAACAUUUCUUGAACUGUGUGUAUUGAGGGGUUGUGACUAUUUGCGGCCACUCAAUAACAUGAAUUGGCACAUCGUGCUAGAGAAGUUCCAAAAGUACGGAACUUAUGAUAAAGUGAUUGAGCACUUGAAAGAAAGUGCUCCAGCUUCAAUAUACACAGGUUAUAAGACGGAAUUCCGAAAGGCGAUGCUCACUUUCAAGCAUCAAAGGGUCUAUGAUCCCAAUUGUGAAUCCACCGUACUUUUGUCUGGAUUAUCCGAGGAUGAACUUCGGUCUAAUUUACCUAAGGAUGUUGGCAAUGAUUUGUCCUUCUUAGGACCAUGGAUAGAGAAUGAUGUGGCUAAAGGCAUUGCGGAAGGCGUUAUUAAUCCACUUAACAGAAUGCCAUUUGAUUGAGAGAAUGAUGUGGCUAAAGGCAUUGCGGAAGGCGUUAUUAAUCCACUUGACAGAAUGCCAUUUGAUUGAGAGAAUGAUGUGGCUAAAGGCAUUGCGGAAGGCGUUAUUAAUCCACUUGACAGAAUGCCAUUUGAUUGAGAGAAUGAUGUGGCUAAAGGCAUUGCGGAAGGCGUUAUUAAUCCACUUGACAGAAUGCCAUUUGAUUGAGGUUUAUUAUUCUCCGAGGCAAUUUGUUUCUUCUUUGGGCACCAAGAAAGGCGGCCUCAACUGAUGGAGACAGGAUCACACAUGCUGCAUACUGACGUCGACACCAAGAAAGGCGGCCUCAAAAUUAACCCGGAUUUCUUCGUGGACUUCGGCUCCGAGCCUGAUGGCACGUCCCUAGCUCAUGAAAUGAGGCGACUGCACUUGGGACAUAUGGAUUUGAGCAUGCUACGUGUGUUCUAAAAAGGAUCGAGUGCUGCACUCUUAUCAUGUCUGUGCUAAGCCCGCCAUUGGCCUUUACUGAUUGUCGCUAGGACUGAGAGGCUGGGCAUUGUCUCUCUAAAGAACCAUGUUUGUCAUACUUUCAAGAAGAUUCAAAUUUUAUAUUCUCUGCUGAUA